rnacentral:rRNA from 1 species
AUUAUCUAUUUACUGUGAACUGUAUUAUUAUUUGACAUUUGAGGGAUGUUCCAAUGUUAUAAGGAUAGACAUUGGAAAUGUUAACCGAGUCAUAAUCAGGUUUAGGCCUGGUAUCCUAUUAUUAUUUACCAAAUGAAUUCAGAAUUAAUAUUGUAACAUAGACCUAAAAAAUCUAUAAAACAACUUUUAACAACGGAUCUCUUGGUUCUCGCAUCGAUGAAGAACGUAGCAAAGUGCGAUAACUAGUGUGAAUUGCAUAUUCAGUGAAUCAUCGAGUCUUUGAACGCAACUUGCGCUCAUUGGUAUUCCAAUGAGCACGCCUGUUUCAGUAUCAAAACAAACCCUCUAUCCAACUUUUGUUGUAUAGGAUUAUUGGGGGCCUCUCGAUCUGUAUAGAUCUUGAAAUCCCUGAAAUUUACUAAGGCCUGAACUUGUUUAAAUGCCUGAACUUUUUUUUAAUAUAAAGGAAAGCUCUUGUAAUUGACUUUGAUGGGGCCUCCCAAAUAAAUCUUUUUUAAAUUUGAUCUGAAAUCAGGCGGGAUUACCCGCUGAACUUAAGCAUAUCAAUAGCCCGGAGGAAAA